GAUGAACGCUGGCGGCGUGCCUAAUACAUGCAAGUCGAGCGAACAGAUGAGGAGCUUGCUCCUCUGACGUUAGCGGCGGACGGGUGAGUAACACGUGGAUAACCUACCUAUAAGACUGGGAUAACUUCGGGAAACCGGAGCUAAUACCGGAUAAUAUAUUUAACCGCAUGGUUCAAUAGUGAAAGACGGUUUUGCUGUCACUUAUAGAUGUAUCCGCGCCGCAUUAGCUAGUUGGUAAGGUAACGGCUUACCAAGGCAACGAUGCGUAGCCGACCUGAGAGGGUGAUCGGCCAAACUGGAACUGAGACACGGUCCAGACUCCUACGGGAGGCAGCAGUAGGGAAUCUUCCGCAAUGGGCGAAAGCCUGACGGAGCAACGCCGCGUGAGUGAUGAAGGUCUUCGGAUCGUAAAACUCUGUUAUUAGGGAAGAACAAAUGUGUAAGUAACUAUGCACGUCUUGACGGUACCUAAUCAGAAAGCCACGGCUAACUACGUG
rnacentral:rRNA from 1 species